rnacentral:rRNA from 1 species
AUUGAACGCUGGCGGCAUGCCUUACACAUGCAAGUCGAACGGUAACGGGCCUUCGGGUGCCGACGAGUGGCGAACGGGUGAGUAAUGCAUCGGAACGUACCUUUCAGUGGGGGAUAACGUAGCGAAAGUUACGCUAAUACCGCAUAUUCUGUGAGCAGGAAAGCAGGGGAUCGCAAGACCUUGCGCUGAUUGAGCGGCCGAUGUCAGAUUAGCUAGUUGGUGAGGUAAAGGCUCACCAAGGCGACGAUCUGUAGCGGGUCUGAGAGGAUGAUCCGCCACACUGGAACUGAGACACGGUCCAGACUCCUACGGGAGGCAGCAGUGGGGAAUUUUGGACAAUGGGGGCAACCCUGAUCCAGCCAUGCCGCGUGAGUGAAGAAGGCCUCGGUGUAAG